rnacentral:rRNA from 1 species
UACAGAGGUCCCAAGCGUUGUUCGGAUUCAUUGGGCGUAAAGGGUGCGUAGGUGGCGCGCUAAGUCAGGUGUGAAAUUUCGGAGCUUAACUCCGAAACUGCAUUUGAUACUGGCGUGCUUGAGGACUGGAGAGGAGACUGGAAUUUACGGUGUAGCAGUGAAAUGCGUAGAGAUCGUAAGGAAGACCAGUGGCGAAGGCGGGUCUCUGGACAGUUCCUGACACUGAGGCACGAAGGCCAGGGGAGCAAACG